rnacentral:rRNA from 1 species
AGAAAAUUCUGACGGUACUGAGGAAUAGCUCGGCUAACUCCGUGCCAGCAGCCGCGGUAAUACGGGGGAGGCAAGCGUUAUCCGGAAUUAUUGGGCGUAAAGCGUCCGCAGGUGGUCAUCCAAGUCUGCUGUCAAAUCAGGUUGCUUAACUACCUAAAGGCGGUGGAAACUGGCAGACUAGAGAGCAGUAGGGGUAGCAGGAAAUUCCCAGUGUAGCGGUGAAAUGCGUAGAGAUUGGGAAAGAACAUCUGUGGCGAAAGCGUGCUACUGGG